rnacentral:rRNA from 1 species
UACGUAGGGUGCGAGCGUUUAAUCGGAAUUACUGGGCGUAAAGCGUGCGCAGGCGGUUUUGUAAGCCAGAUGUGAAAUCCCCGGGCUUAACCUGGGAAUGGCAUUUGGGACUGCAAGGCUCGAGUGCGGCAGAGGAGACUGGAAUUCCUGGUGUAGCAGUGAAAUGCGUAGAUAUCGGGAAGAACACCAGUGGCGAAAGCGCUCUACUGGGCCAUAACUGACACUGAGGGACGAAAGCUAGGGGAGCGAAAGGG